rnacentral:tRNA from 1 species
GGAGAGUUGGCAGAGUGGUAAUGCAGCGGACUCGAAAUCCGCCGAACCGGUUAAUACCGGCGCGCAGGUUCAAAUCCUGUACUCUCCU